UACGUAGGGUGCAAGCGUUGUCCGGAAUUAUUGGGCGUAAAGAGCUCGUAGGCGGUUCGUCGCGUCGGCUGUGAAAACCCGGAGCUCAACUCCGGGCCUGCAGUCGAUACGGGCGGACUAGAGUUCGGCAGGGGAGACUGGAAUUCCUGGUGUAGCGGUGGAAUGCGCAGAUAUCAGGAGGAACACCGGUGGCGAAGGCGGAUCUCUGGGCCAUUACUGACGCUGAGGAGCGAAAGCGUGGGGAGCGAACAGG
rnacentral:rRNA from 1 species